rnacentral:rRNA from 1 species
CGCCUUUUGAUAUAUAUUCAUAAAAGGUCCUGCCUGCCCAGUGACUCUGUUUAACGGCCGCGGUAUUAUGACCGUGCAAAGGUAGCGUAAUCACUUGUCUUUUAAAUAAAGACUAGUAUGAACGGCAACACGAGGACCCAACUGUCUCACUAAAUUAGUCAGUGAAAUUUAUUUUUCCGUGCAAAAGCGGAAAUAUUUAUAUAAGACGAGAAGACCCUGUGGAGCUUUAAAUUUAAACUAACACUUAAUAGUAUUAUAGCAUAAAAUUUUAGGUUGGGGCGACCAUGAGGAAAAAUAAACCCUCAAGAUAUUAACUAGAGAGACAUCUCAACAAAUAGUAAUACUAACAUAUUGACCCAAUAAUUGAUCAACGAACCAAGUUACCCCAGGGAUAACAGCGCAAUCCACUCACAGAGCCCAUAUCGACGAGCGGGUUUACGACCUCGAUGUUGGAUCAGGACUACCCAGUGGCGCAGCAACUACUAAAGGUUCGUUUGUUCAACGAUUAAAAUCCU